UGGGGAAUAUUGCACAAUGGGCGGAAGCCUGAUGCAGCAACGCCGCGUGCGGGAUGACGGCCUUCGGGUUGUAAACCGCUUUCGCCUGUGACGAAGCGUGAGUGACGGUAAUGGGUAAAGAAGCACCGGCUAACUACGUGCCAGCAGCCGCGGUGAUACGUAGGGUGCGAGCGUUGUCCGGAUUUAUUGGGCGUAAAGGGCUCGUAGGUGGUUGAUCGCGUCGGAAGUGUAAUCUUGGGGCUUAACCCUGAGCGUGCUUUCGAUACGGGUUGACUUGAGGAAGGUAGGGGAGAAUGGAAUUCCUGGUGGAGCGGUGGAAUGCGCAGAUAUCAGGAGGAACACCAGUGGCGAAGGCGGUUCUCUGGGCCUUUCCUGACGCUGAGGAGCGAAAGCGUGGGGAGCGAACAGGCUUAGAUACCCUGGUAGUCCACGCUGUAAACGGUGGGUACUAGGUGUGGGGUCCAUUCCGCGGGUUCCGCGCCGUAGCUAACGCUUUAAGUACCCCGCCUGGGGAGUACGGCCGCAAGGCUA
rnacentral:rRNA from 1 species